rnacentral:lncRNA from 1 species
CUGAGCUCCUUCUUGGCACUUAGCAGAUGAGGGGGUGAGAGAAAAAAUUUCCAGACGCUAAAGCAGGAAUCACAGCUGCAGACACAGCAGAAGUUUUCCAGGGAACAGGCAGAGAAGAGGACUUUACCUGUGGAUGAUGUGGUAGAACGAUCAGGUGAAGCUGAAAUCUGUGGAAGUGUGAAGAAAGAGUGA